UUGGUCAGGAGAAUCCUCUGCUUGAUUAGCCCUGAGUCUUGUUAGGGAAGGCAUGGUUGCAUCUCCUGGAUGGCAGACUGCGCUUCUGGGGUUUCUGGGCUGAAGCUGGUCCACACUCAGCAGACAGGAAGGAAAUGAGCCAGCCUGCAGGGUGCGGGCAUCCAGCCCAUAGGCGAGUCCACAAAGGAAGUCUGGGUGCUGCUGAGGAUGCCAAGCCUGGGGCAUUCAGUGUCAGUAUGCUUGGGAGUAUAACUUUCUGAAGGCGGUCACGGGGCUUGAGCUGAGCCUAUGAGGUCACUGUGUCCUCUGGAUACGUGGCUGUACAAAAAGCCACCACAUGUUCUCACCACACACCCACAUCAUGGACGGAAUAAUGCUGCAGAAGCCAGGAGGCUAACUCCAAAGCAAAGCUGCCGAAAGGAGGAAAAAAAAAAGAAAGAAAGAAAGAAAAAAGAAAAUUCCAUUUCUUCUACAGCGUGACUCUCUCGCCCUCUAUCGGCAAAGUUGGCAUCUUGCGGUGUUUACAGAGCGGCUUUGUGAGGAGGGUGUGUUUGGAACGGAGAAACAGUGACUUGAAAUUGGCACGGUAUUCUUUUGAUCCUCACAGUUAGGUCGUAAUUAAUAAAUUCGUGAAUGCCUUCAUCCAGUAACUGAUCGAAUGCAGAAGCAGACACCAACAGCUAAGCACUGAGCCAUACUCUUGGAAUUCAGUUGUACAGAUGGAGGAGAGGUAAAAUGGGAUGUCCAGAAAGGCUUUGUCUUCACCCCUAAUCAAGGAAACUUACCUUGGAACAGAGACCACCACAUAAAAUCACAACUAAUAAAAAUAUAGAGUUGUGGAGCCUACUCCCUACAUAAACCUGAAAAACACCCUCUUACUUAAGGCUCAGGAAACAUUACAGAAGAGGGGGAAGAAAUAUUAAAAGAACCAAAGGAUCAUGGAGUUUGCUAAGAUUCCUAGCAAUAGUUCAGAGGACACCUGAACUGGUCUACACCUGUAAUCAGAUUGAUGAAUACCCCAACUAUCAUCAUAGAGCCCUCAUCCAGUAACUGAUGAAACCAGACACAGAGAUCCACAACCAAGAACCAGGCCAAGCUCUGGGAAGUUGAAGAGAGGGAGGAGGGAAUAUAUGAGCAAGGGAGAUCAAGGUCAUGAAGGAGAAAUCUACGAAGACAGCUGAACCAAGCUUGUGGAAACUCAUUAACUCUAGACCAAAAACUGUGGAGACUCCAGUGGACUGAACUAGUACCUCUGAAUGUGGGAGACAGUAGCGAAGCUUAGACUAUCAGAGGGUCCCCUGGCAGUAGGACCACAAUACAAACCUGUUACUUGAGCUAGCUUGUUGGUGCCCAUUCCCCAUGGUGGAAAGCCAUGUUCAGUCUUAAUGCAUCGGAGAGGGACCAGGCCCUGAACCAACCUAAUGAACCAAACUAUGUUGACUUUUC
rnacentral:lncRNA from 1 species